UUUGACAUGUACGGAAUUUGCCAGAGAUGGCUUAGUGCUCGAAAGAGAACCGUAACACAGGUGCUGCAUGGCUGUCGUCAGCUCGUGUCGUGAGAUGUUGGGUUAAGUCCCGCAACGAGCGCAACCCUUGUCAUUAGUUGCUACAUUUAGUUGGGCACUCUAAUGAGACUGCUGGUGACAAGCCGGAGGAAGGUGGGGAUGACGUCAAGUCCUCAUGGCCCUUAUAGGUGG
rnacentral:rRNA from 1 species